rnacentral:rRNA from 1 species
UACGGAGGUGGCGAGCGUUACUCGGAUUUAUUGGGUGUAAAGGGCAGGUAGGCGGCCAAGCAAGUUGAAGGUGAAAUCCUUUGACUCAAUCAAAGAACUGCCUUCAAAACUGCAUGGCUUGAGGCUGGAAGAGGAGAGCGGAAUUCCCGGUGUAAGGGUGAAAUCUGUAGAUAUCGGGAGGAACACCUGUGGCGAAAGCGGCUCUCUGGUCCAGCUCUGACGCUGAGCUGCGAAAGCUAGGGGAG